rnacentral:sRNA from 1 species
GUCAGGUGCCGUGGCGCACACCUGUAAUCCCAGUGGCUCAGGAGGCUGAGGCAGGAGGAUCGCGUUCAAAGCCAGCCUCAGCAACAGUGAGGCACUAAGCAACUCAGUGAGACCCUGGCUCUC